UACGGAGGGUGCAAACGUUGCUCGGAAUCAUUGGGCGUAAAGCGCACGUAGGCGGGUCAUCAAGUCGGAUGUGAAAUCCCUCGGCUUAACCGAGGACGUGCAUUCGAAACUGAUGGUCUUGAGUACGACAGAGGAUCGCGGAAUUCCCGGUGUAGAGGUGAAAUUCGUAGAUAUCGGGAGGAACACCAGUGGCGAAGGCGGCGGUCUGGGUCGAUACUGACGCUGAGGUGCGAAAGCGUGGGGAGCAAACAGG
rnacentral:misc_RNA from 1 species